AUCACUAAAAUUAGAAAAGAAAUCCCUAAUUCCCUAACUCAAAGAAACCGGCAGCUUCUCCUCCAUCCCAAUCUCGCCGGCCGCCAUCCACCUCUGUCUAUCUUCAGUCUUUCUAUCGCAAGGGGAUUCUUCAAAUUUCCAGCGCUCCACGACCCACCUGUCAUCAAUCUCGCCCGUUUCAAGAUUUCCGAUUGUUUUCUCAACACACUCUUGUUUCAAGCGAAUGGCAAGCGAGGCAGCGGAAAAAGACCAAGGAGUUUUAGAAGAGGCAGAAAAAGGAGGAUGAGGAGGAAGAGAGAAAGGUUGAUGAAUAUCGCGAAAUUGGAUUGCGCCUCAAGAAUUAUGGCGACGAAGAUGGAUGGCGGCCAACGAGAUUUGGUGAAAUUUGGAUUCGCUUUAAAAAUUAUGGGGAAAAUAAAAUUUGGGCAAAGUUUGUGAUAUUUGGUAUAAUAAAAAAAUGCAACUUUUUCAG